ensembl:lncRNA
UUCUUCCAACAGCAGUGAUGGAUGUUGGGGAGCCUGUGGUCUGGACGUUUCAAACACUUGACCUGGAGCCUCUUGAAGCUCUUCAGGGACUUCCUGGGUGGUCCAGUGGCUAAGAUUCCAUGCGCCUAAUGCAGUGGGCCUAGGUUCAAUCCCUGGUGGGGGAACUAGAUCCCACAUGCUGCAACUAAGACCUGAUGCAGGCAAACUUUAAAUAAAAUAAAACAUGAGAAAAGGUUCUUCAGAAAAUGUUCUCUCCUUCGCCUUCCUUCAUCCCAUCAGACAGUCCUAUAAUAAUAGUAACCACUGCAGAGGUGUGUGGAGAGAGAUGAAAACUGCCUCCAACGCCCAGCCCAGGACCGGCAUAUAGAGAGGCUGUCUUCCUGCUCCAGGCAACGUGGCUCAGAACCAAGAGAAAUGAGCAAGCUGGAAUACAGGGCUGAACUGGAAACGCCCACGGGCCCCUGACUCAGCAGAGCUGCCUGACCCCUUGAAGAAAGAAGAGCCUUCUAAGCAGUGAGCCCCAGACUCUGAGCUGAGCUUUGUAACAACAGAGAAACAGGACACAGCCACCCAAGAGGGUUGUAAGUAGAAAGGAACAGCAAAGUCAGGAGAAAAUACACCCCCUAGAUUAGGACUCGUAUUUAGUUUGGCUGGGUCUCAGAAAAUUUCUUGGACGUUCUAAUGAUCUUAGCUAUGUUCACACAUGUUAAGUAUAGUAAUAGAUGUCCCUUUCAUCGUUUCUUCCAAAUGUUGUUAGAGAGACAUGAUCAUCUGAGUGUGAGUAUAUACAGAGAAAGAUACACGUGCAUGCACACACACACACACACACACACACAGAAACAGAGACAGAAAGAGUGAGAAAUUGGAAUAGAUUGAAACAAAGGUCCAUGGAGCCAUUCAGAGCUUUGAAUGCCGCAAUUAUAGUUUACUAAGUAGUCAACAACAAAGAAAUGAAUGGCACACAAAAGCACCAAGCAAGAGUCACUCCUUUUGAUACAAAGGAGAAAUGUAGCCAUUAGUGUACAUUUGCAACUAAUAGUGUAGAUUGUCAUUACCCGGAAUAGAAGGCCCAAAAUAGAAGACCCAUUUGUCCCCUAAUGAAUCCCAAGUGUGUGGAGCAGAACCUGGUAGGGAGCAAGCACUCAGUAAACAUUCGUUGAAUGGAUCACUUUUCAACGUACAAUCAACCAGAGAUCAUAGAGAUAAUUGGUUCACAAUUCCACCCCGACUUGAAGGAAAAAGCAGUCACUUGAGCUCUGGAAACCUCAAAGAGUGGAGGAACUAUUUCCAAAGCAGCUCCUAUGACAUUUCAGUUCAAUCCAGCAAACAUGUUUGUGCUAAUUGAUGCCACACUGUGCCAUCGGAGAUGCCGAAGAUGCUGCGAUGCUCAAGCUUGUCUUCACAGGGGACUCUCCACGGAUCCAGGUGCUGCUGCUGCUGCGGCUGCUGAGUUGCUUCAGUCGUGUCCGACCCUGUGCG